rnacentral:rRNA from 1 species
UACGAAGGGGGCUAGCGUUGUUCGGAUUUACUGGGCGUAAAGCGCACGUAGGCGGAUCGUUAAGUCGGGGGUGAAAUCCUGGAGCUCAACUCCAGAACUGCCUUCGAUACUGGCGAUCUUGAGUCCGGAAGAGGUGAGUGGAACUCCUAGUGUAGAGGUGGAAUUCGUAGAUAUUCGGAAGAACACCAGUGGCGAAGGCGGCCCGCUGGACAUGUAUUGACGCUGAGGUGCGAAAAGCGUGGGGGAGCAAAACAGG